UACGUAGGGACCAAGCGUUGUUCGGAAUUACUGGGCGUAAAGCGCGCGCAGGCGGCUAUCCAAGUCAGUGGUGAAAGCCCGGGGCUCAACUCCGGAAUUGCCUUUAAGACUGCAUCGCUAGAAUUGUGGAGAGGUAAGUGGAAUUCCGAGUGUAGAGGUGAAAUUCGUAGAUAUUCGGAAGAACACCAGUGGCGAAGGCGACUUACUGGACACAUAUUGACGCUGAGGUGCGAAAGCGUGGGGAGCAAACAGG
rnacentral:rRNA from 1 species